UGAGAUGUUGGGUGCAAAGCUUAUCUC
rnacentral:sRNA from 1 species